UGACAUUUGAGAGAAAGUGGCCGGAUAUUGAGGUGGUUCAAAGCUCUGCUCGCAGUGUGCCUUUGUCAUUCGGGGCGCAUCAGCGAGAAAGCGCGGCUCGGCGCAGGCUCAGUGCUCAUAGCCGCAGUCCCGGCCGGAGGAGGGGGACUCGGCAGCUCAGCAUCUUCGCAGCGGGUUAAGUAGGAUUAAUACCAAAUCCCUAUUAUAUUUACCAAGCAACUUGAAUUUAUCAAAAUUCCCCCUCGCUGUUCUGGAGCUCCGAGAGGAGGAAGUGUAAAAUGCCGACAUAGCAGCACGCAGGGAAUGCCAGCGCACUGCAUCACACUGCUCCCCGCACCAGCCACACUAUCGCAACCCGAAGAUCCCACUAUUCCCAUCCCUUUGUGCUUUAUAAUGCGAUCGGGACACUGAAUGGCUUCGCCAGAGGAAGGGCGGGGUGGGAGAGCUUGUAACCUCCCCGCCAUAAACUUUAAUCGGAUUCGGGGCUGUUGCACUGCGCGGACUCCUCUUGGCCGCGGCUUCUUCCCCGUUGUCCCCCAUAUCUACUACCGCGGUUUGCUUGGCGAGUGCGUUUUCCAAGCGAAUGAGUGAUCUCUUUCUCUUGCCAUGUGUAGUAUCCCCCUCCCCAUCCCCCACUCCCCUCUUGCCCCCCGCCCCGUUCCUGGCCUCCGUACACACACUGCGCCUUUCACACUCGGGCUGCCCCGGCCCCCCUCCCCUUCUCUCUCCUUUACAGUGUCUUCACAUGCAAUCUCUCUCUGAAUGUGCAAUGUCUUUUCUGCUCGGGAGUGCUUCGUCCUUCACAGUGGAUUGGUUCCUCUUUCGGAGCAGAGAUUCAACUAAACUCAUCCCUGAAUGAUCUGUACUCAAAUCAAGCU